rnacentral:rRNA from 1 species
ACUGCCCGAUGGAGGGGGAUAACUACUGGAAACGGUAGCUAAUACCGCAUAACGUCGCAAGACCAAAGUGGGGGACCUUCGGGCCUCACACCAUCGGAUGUGCCCAGAUGGGAUUAGCUAGUUGGUGAGGUAAUGGCUCACCAAGGCGACGAUCCCUAGCUGGUCUGAGAGGAUGACCAGCCACACUGGAACUGAGACACGGUCCAGACUCCUACGGGAGGCAGCAGUGGGGAAUAUUGCACAAUGG